rnacentral:rRNA from 1 species
AUAGGUUAUAAGUAAUCGUACUCCAAACCGACACAGGUGAUCAGGUAGAGAAUACCAAGGCGCUUGAGAGAACUCGGGUGAAGGAACUAGGCAAAAUGGUACCGUAACUUCGGGAGAAGGUACGCUCCUGGCGGUGAUGAGACUUGCUCUCUAAGCUGCUGGGAGUCGCAGAUACCAGGUGGCUGCAACUGUUUAUUAAAAACACAGCACUGUGCAAAAUCGAAAGAUGACGUAUACGGUGUGACGCCUGCCCGGUGCCGGAAGGUUAAUUGAUGGGGUUAGACGCAAGUCGAAGCUCUUGAUCGAAGCCCCGGUAAACGGCGGCCGUAACUAUAACGGUCCUAAGGUAGCGAAAUUCCUUGUCGGGUAAGUUCCGACCUGCACGAAUGGCGUAAUGAUGGCCACGCUGUCUCCACCCGAGACUCAGUGAAAUUGAAAUCGCAGUGAAGAUGCUGUGUACCCGCGGCUAGACGGAAAGACCCCGUGAACCUUUACUACAGCUUGGCACUGAACAUUGACCCUACAUGUGUAGGAUAGGUGGGAGACUAUGAAAUACGGGCGCUAGUUCGUAUGGAGUCGUCCUUGAAAUACCACCCUUGUAUGCUUGAUGUUCUAACGUUGGCCCCUUAUCGGGGUUGCGGACAGUGCCUGGUGGGUAGUUUGACUGGGGCGGUCUCCUCCCAAAGAGUAACGGAGGAGCACGAAGGUGGGCUAAUCACGGUCGGACAUCGUGAGGUUAGUGCAAUGGCAUAAGCCCGCUUGACUGCGAGAAUGACAAUUCGAGCAGGUGCGAAAGCAGGUCAUAGUGAUCCGGUGGUUCUGAAUGGAAGGGCCAUCGCUCAACGGAUAAAAGGUACUCCGGGGAUAACAGGCUGAUACCGCCCAAGAGUUCAUAUCGACGGCGGUGUUUGGCACCUCGAUGUCGGCUCAUCACAUCCUGGGGCUGAAGUCGGUCCCAAGGGUAUGGCUGUUCGCCAUUUAAAGUGGUACGCGAGCUGGGUUUAGAACGUCGUGAGACAGUUCGGUCCCUAUCUGCCGUGGGCGUUGGAUGAUUGAAGGGGGCUGCUCCUAGUACGAGAGGACCGGAGUGGACGAACCUCUGGUGUUCGGGUUGUUACGCCAGUAGCAUUGCCCGGUAGCUAAGUUCGGAAUCGAUAACCGCUGAAAGCAUCUAAGCGGGAAGCGAGCCCUGAGAUGAGUCAUCCCUGAUACUAUAAGUAUCCUAAAGGGUUGUUGAAGACUACGACGUUGAUAGGCAGGGUGUGUAAGUGCUGUGAGGCAUUGAGCUAACCUGUACUAAUUGCCCGUGAGGCUUAACCAUACAACACCCAAGGGGUUU